rnacentral:lncRNA from 1 species
AAAGACAUCAGCUGGCAGCCGCAAAAGACAGAUCUCAAAAAUGAGGAGCAGUAGCUGAGAGGCUAAGAGAAUCUGUCCUAGCCACAAGAGCUUGGAAAACAGAGGAAGUUGAAUCAGGGAAAACACAUGGAAGACAGAUCCCCAAAGAGGGAGAAGAAACAUGACAGUGAUGAAAAGAAAACAAGGUCCGUGGCUGGUGACAACCAGACGUUACCAACAGCAGCAUCAGGAGGUUUCUGUUCGAUGGAUGGUUCAUUUUCAUCCAAGAAUUAAACAAAGGAACAUCAGAUUUUAUUUUUGAACAUUGGAGUUUAUGAUUGUUUCCUUCCAAUAACAGCUACUUCAUUCAUGGUUCCACCCAUCCAUCAUUUGGUUCUGUUGAACUCAACUAGGUUUUCCUUUUCCUUAACAUUUUACAUUUUGUUAAACAGAAAAGUGAAGAGAACAGAAAAGUAACCAUAAUUAGAAACAGAUAUCUAUAUACCUGCCACCUACUGGAGUUGAUUAAUAUUGACAUUUGGCCAUAUUCACUUCAGAGCUUUUAAA